rnacentral:rRNA from 1 species
UACGUAGGGAGCAAGCGUUGUCCGGAAUCAUUGGGCGUAAAGCGCGCGUAGGUGGCUUCGUAAGUCCGUUGUGAAAGUCAAAGGCUCAACCUUUGAAAGCCGAUGGAUACUGCGGAGCUAGAGUACGGAAGAGGCGAGUGGAAUUCCUGGUGGUAGCGGUGGAAUGCGCAGAUAUCAAGGAGGAACACCAAUAGCGAAGGCAGCUCGCUGGGACGUUACUGACACUGAGGCGCGAAAGCGUGGGGAUCAAACAGGG